CGAGGGGCAGCAUGGUCUUAGCUUGCUAAGGCCGAUGGCGACCGGCGCACGGGUGAGUAACACGUAUCCAACCUGCCGUCUACUCUUGGACAGCCUUCUGAAAGGAAGAUUAAUACAAGAUGGCAUCAUGAGUCCGCAUGUUCACAUGAUUAAAGGUAUUCCGGUAGACGAUGGGGAUGCGUUCCAUUAGAUAGUAGGCGGGGUAACGGCCCACCUAGUCUUCGAUGGAUAGGGGUUCUGAGAGGAAGGUCCCCCACAUUGGAACUGAGACACGGUCCAAACUCCUACGGGAGGCAGCAGUGAGGAAUAUUGGUCAAUGGGCGCAGGCCUGAACCAGCCAAGUAGCGUGAAGGAUGACUGCCCUAUGGGUUGUAAACUUCUUUUAUAAAGGAAUAAAGUCGGGUAUGUAUACCCGUUUGCAUGUACUUUAUGAAUAAGGAUCGGCUAACUCCGUGCCAGCAGCCGCGGUAAUACGGAGGAUCCGAGCGUUAUCCGGAUUUAUUGGGUUUAAAGGGAGCGUAGAUGGAUGUUUAAGUCAGUUGUGAAAGUUUGCGGCUCAACCGUAAAAUUGCAGUUGAUACUGGAUAUCUUGAGUGCAGUUGAGGCAGGCAGAAUUCGUGGUGUAGCGGUGAAAUGCUUAGAUAUCACGAAGAACUCCGAUUGCGAAGGCAGCCUGCUAAGCUGCAACUGACAUUG
rnacentral:rRNA from 1 species